rnacentral:rRNA from 1 species
CAGUCGCCGCGGGAAUACGGAGGGUGCAAGCGUUAAUCGGAAUUACUGGGCGUAAAGCGCACGCAGGCGGUCUGACAAGUCAGAUGUGAAAUCCCCGGGCUUAACCUGGGAACUGCAUUUGAAACUGUCAGGCUGGAGUCUUGUAGAGGGGGGUAGAAUUCCAGGUGUAGCGGUGAAAUGCGUAGAGAUCUGGAGGAAUACCGGUGGCGAAGGCGGCCCCCUGGACAAAGACUGACGCUCAGGUGCGAAAGCGUGGGGAGCAAACAGGAUUAGAGACCCGUGUAGUCCCUGUCUCUUAUAC